CACGUAGGGUGCGAGCGUUGUCCGGAAUUAUUGGGCGUAAAGAGCUCGUAGGCGGUGUGUCGCGUCGGCCGUGAAAACCUGCAGCUUAACUGUGGGCUUGCGGUCGAUACGGGCGGGCUAGAGUUCGGUAGGGGAGACUGGAAUUCCUGGUGUAGCGGUGAAAUGCGCAGAUAUCAGGAGGAACACCGGUGGCGAAGGCGGGUCUCUGGGUCGAUACUGACGCUGAGGAGCGAAAGCGUGGGGAGCGAACAGG
rnacentral:rRNA from 1 species